rnacentral:rRNA from 1 species
CUACGGGUGGCUCCAGUGGGGAAUAUUGCACAAUGGGCGCAAGCCUGAUGCAGCCAUGCCGCGUGUAUGAAGAAGGCCUUCGGGUUGUAAAGUACUUUCAGCGGGGAGGAAGGGAGUAAAGUUAAUACCUUUGCUCAUUGACGUUACCCGCAGAAGAAGCACCGGCUAACUCCGUGCCAGCAGCCGCGGUAAUACGGAGGGUGCAAGCGUUAAUCGGAAUUACUGGGCGUAAAGCGCACGCAGGCGGUUUGUUAAGUCAGAUGUGAAAUCCCCGGGCUCAACCUGGGAACUGCAUCUGAUGCCGGCAAGCGUGAGUUUCGGAGAGGGGGGUAGAAUGCCAGGUGUAGCGGUGAAAUGCGUAGAGAUUGGGAGGAAUACCGGUGGCGAAGGCGGCCCCCUGGACGAAGACUGACGCUCAGGUGCGAAAGCGUGGGGAGCAAACAGGAUUAGAUACCCGAGUAGUC